AUUUAUUUAAGAGUUUCUUUUUAAAGAAGGGAUCCCAUACGGCCAUAUAACGCGUUUGACUUAAACAUUUGUAUAACACUUGAAUUAACCAGUUGCAACAUAUCUACCCUGUCAAUAGAAUUUCUCUCCUAUAUGCUUAUAGAACAUUUGGACCAGAUUACACAGACAUGGUAUCACCUGCAUUUGUCAGAACGCUCAAAGACUCAAAAUAUUUAUACUACUCCAUGUUAAAGGCAUGGCAAAAUUUUGACCGGUCAAUUUGAAUUCCCAAAAGUCAUAACAAGACAGGUAAAAACCUUUGUCCAUGGUUUUCUGAUCCUACAUUCCAUAACCAAAAAUUAAAAAAUUUUGCUCUCUAAUUUAUAAUCAUCUACCUUUACAACAUAAGUUCUCUGCAACAAACACACAGGGCAGAAAGAAUGUGGU